rnacentral:lncRNA from 1 species
AUGGUCCAGCUUUUGACCUAACGUUGUGGGCUUCCCCACAAUACAGCCUCUAACACAACUAUGCCGUCCCGAAACCCUGGUAAUGUAAUUGUCUACUUUUAUACCAACAAGGUUGAAAAAGCACCAAAAUCUGUAUGUGGUGUGUGCCUAGGCCGACUUCAUUGAGUUGGUGCUGUGAGACAUAAAGUUCUUAUGAGAUUGUCUAAAACAAAAACACAUCAGCAGGGUCUACUGUUGUUCCACAUGUGCUAAAUGUGUCUGUGACUGGAUCAAGCAUGCUUUCCUCCGAGGAGCAGUGGAGUGAAAGUGUUGAAGGCAUGAGCACGGAUUCAGAGAGUUACAUUUAA